GAUGAACGCUGGCGGCGUGCCUAAUACAUGCAAGUCGAGCGAACAGAUGAGGAGCUUGCUCCUCUGACGUUAGCGGCGGACGGGUGAGUAACACGUGGAUAACCUACCUAUAAGACUGGGAUAACUUCGGGAAACCGGAGCUAAUACCGGAUAAUAUAUUGAACCGCAUGGUUCAAUAGUGAAAGACGGUUUUGCUGUCACUUAUAGAUGGAUCCGCGCCGCAUUAGCUAGUUGGUAAGGUAACGGCUUACCAAGGCAACGAUGCGUAGCCGACCUGAGAGGGUGAUCGGCCACACUGGAACUGAGACACGGGCCAGACUCCUACGGGAGGCAGCAGUAGGGAAUCUUCCGCAAUGGGCGAAAGCCUGACGGAGCAACGCCGCGUGAGUGAUGAAGGUCCUCGGAUCGUAAAACUCUGUUAUUAGGGAAGAACAAAUGUGUAAGUAACUAUGCACGUCUUGACGGUACCUAAUCAGAAAGCCACGGCUAACUACGU
rnacentral:rRNA from 1 species